CCAAUAGCGUAUAUUAAAGUUGUUGCAGUUAAAAAGCUCGUAGUUGAAUUUCGGGGUCUGUCCAUUGGUCGGGCUUCACGGUCCGUACUGGUGAGAUGGGUUCCUACCUUCUGAAUAACCAGCAUGCCAUUCAGUUGGUGCGUUGGGGAAGCAGAGCUAUUACCUUGAAAAAAUUAGAGUGCUUAAAGCAGGCUAGUGCUUGAAUAGAUUAGAAUGGAAUAAUAAAAUAGAACGGCAUGGUUCUAUUUUGUUGGUUUCUAGGAUCACCGUAAUGAUUAAUAGGGAUAGUUGGGGGCAUUAGUAUUCAAUUGUCAGAGGUGAAAUUCUUUGAUUUAUUGAAGACUAACUUCUUCGAAAGCAUUUGCCAAGGAUGUUUUCAUUAAUCAAGAACGAAAGUUAGGGGAUCGAAGACGAUCAGAUACCGUCGUAGUCUUAACCAUAAACUAUGCCGACUAGGGAUCGGACGAUGUUAAUUUUUUAAUGACUCGUUCGGCGCCUUACG
rnacentral:rRNA from 1 species